rnacentral:lncRNA from 1 species
UGUGCUAGGCCCUGCAUGAAGUGCUUGACAUUCACACUCAUUCAGUUUUACAGUGAACCUGACAGGUCAAUAUUUUCUCCAUUUAUUAGGAAACUGAGAUUCAGUGAGACAAGGACAUUUGUUCAAAUAAAUCUCGUAACUCUGAAGAGGCCUGGAUCUGAGAAGAAUGGGUGCCAGGUAGUCUGACUGGGCUAGUUUUGCCCCAUCAUGGCCCUGUGACAUCCGUUCUGCCUCCCAGCUAGACUGGACUCCCCCAGACCAGGAACUGUGUCCUGGCUCUUCCUAGCACCCAGCUCAGGGAGGGCUAUCAAGGCUGCUGAAAGCAGCUCAGUGAAUGUCAGUCUCUGAGCAGAUGGGAAGAACUGAGGAUGAAUUUGUCCACUUAAAUGGGAAUGGAAGCUUAAGAAUCAAGAUAUUUGAAGAUAAGGGAAACUGAGGUACAGAGGAGGGGAAGAGCCAUGAUUGACUUCAUGCAACUCAUCAGGGAGGGCACCCAGAUUUACACGUGGAUCUGUGUCACUACAAAGCAGUGCCCUUGACUUAACACUCCAUCACUUUCCAUACAAGCUUCAAACUGAACUCCACCUUCAUUAGCUUGGUGAGCGCAGACCGCUGAACUCUUCUAACAUCUGUCUUAGAGGUUAUGUGUUGGCUGCUGCGUUCAGAGCUAUCCUAAAAGUAACUGAAACAAGGGAUUUUUGACUCCAUGGCUAAACAGUUUCUGGGGAGCAGACCUUGAUUCUACCAUUACUUAGAAAACAAAUCAAAUUAGAGUCAGACUAGUGAUGUUGUCAGAACUUUUCAAACAUAAAGACCCAUGAAUGGACAUGUACACUUGGGAUCAAAAGCACUCUCCUCUUCCAAACAGCAGUCUACACUUGGCCUUUUGAGAGGCUGAGCUAUUGCCAAGGACUAUUUAGAUGGAAGAUUUGAUUGUUGGUCAAGGAGACACUGAAGAAGAGAUAAGAUGGUGUACUGGAAUGGAAGGAAGGCUCUGGACAUCAGAACUUUGGGCCACUGUACUGCUGUGUAAAUUUGCGAAACCUACUUAAUCCUUAUGGACUGUUUCCUCAUCUGGAAAAUGAGUUAAAUGAGAUCCAUUUUAUAAAAUUGUUGUAAUGAUUAUAUAAGUAAACACAUAGUAAUAUUAUUUGAUUUUAUUAUUAUUAUUAUGACUUGUCACUCAAAGCAUUUAGCUUUGGUGUCUCUAAUAUUCAGUACUCACAUUUAUGUUCAAAUUUGGAUGCUAGGUAGAAAUGAAGACUUUGUAUCUGCCACCAGAGAAGGCUAUUUAUUAUUUGUCAUUGCCUGUCACGAACUCACAAAGAUAGUAUUUGCCUAUCCAAAGGUAUCUAAUUCCUCAGUUUCUUAUGUGACUAUAA